rnacentral:rRNA from 1 species
GUCGAGAAUCUUCCGCAAUGCGCGAAAGCGUGACGGAGCGACACCGCGUGAUGGAUGAAGUCCUUCGGGGCGUAAACAUCUUUUAUAAAGGAGGAAAUUUUUGACGUUACUUUAUGAAUAAGGGGCUCCCAAUCUCGUGCCAGCAGGAGCGGUAAUACGAGAGCCUCAAGCGUUAUCCGGAAUCAUUGGGCGUAAAGGAUGCAUAGGUGGUUUGAUUAGUCUCCCGUUAAAACUUCGAGCUUAACUCGAAAAGAGCGGGGGAAACGGUCAAACUAGAGUAUGUGAGAGGUGUGUGGAACUCAUGGUGUAGGGGUGAAAUCCGUUGAUAUCAUGGGGAACACCAAAAGCGAAGGCAGCACACUGGCACAUCACUGACACUGAGGCACGAAACCUAAGGUAGCGAAUGGGAUUAGAAACCCGUGUAGUCC